rnacentral:rRNA from 1 species
UGCCGGCGACCGGCGCACGGGUGAGUAACACGUAUGCGACCGUGCCCCCGCAGGGGGAUAACCGGGAGAAAUCCCGACUAAUACCGCGUAACGCCGCGGACCUGCAUGGGUCUGCGGCCAAAGGAAGCGAUUCCGGCGGGGGAUGGGCAUGCGGCGCAUUAGCUAGUCGGCGGGGUAACGGCCCACCGAGGCGACGAUGCGUAGGGGUUCUGAGAGGAAGGUCCCCCACACUGGUACUGAGACACGGACCAGACUCCUACGGAAGGCAGCAG